AAAAUGAUUUUACAACACCAGAGGCCUGUUCUACGAAGCAAGAUUUGGCGUUAACAAGGUAACUUCAGGGUCAACCCGGGGUUUUCGGUAUCACGAUGGUAGAUCACUUUUUACCGGGUUAAAUUGCCGUGGUAAUUUAUGCUGAACACCUAACCUGCUCGGGAGUAGGUUAUGUUGGAGAUUAGAGAUCAACUGGUGUAAAAGCACCGUCUACUGACCAAUCAAUACUAGAUUGAUAACGGCGUCACCGUUCUUAGAAGAUGAGCUGGAGCUUGGUGAGCAGAGAGAGACAGAGAGAGAGAGAGAGGAGAGAGAGAGAGAGAGAGAGAU